rnacentral:rRNA from 1 species
GACGAACGCUGGCGGCGUGCUUAACACAUGCAAGUCGAACGGUGAAGCGCCUUCCUUUUUGGUGGGUGUGGAUGAGUGGCGAACGGGUGAGUACACGUGAGUAACCUGCCCCCUUCUUCUGGAUAACCGCAUGAAAGUGUGGCUAAUACGGGAUAUUCUGGGUCUGUCGCAUGAUGGGUCUGGGAAAGAUAUUGUUUCGGUGGGGGAUGGGCUCGCGGCCUAUCAGCUUGUUGGUGGGGUGAUGGCCUACCAAGGCGGUGACGGGUAGCCGGCCUGAGAGGGUGGACGGUCACACUGGGACUGAGACACGGCCCAGACUCCUACGGGAGGCAGCAGUGGGGAAUAUUGCACAAUGGGCGCAAGCCUGAUGCAGCGACGCCGCGUGAGGGAUGGAGGCCUUCGGGUUGUGAACCUCUUUCGCCAGUGAAGCAGGCCUGCCUCGUUUGUGGGUGGGUUGACGGUAGCUGGAUAAGAAGCGCCGGCUAACUACGUG